rnacentral:rRNA from 1 species
CCAGGCCCUACGGGGUGCAGCAGGCGCGAAACCUCCGCAAUGUGAGAAAUCGCGACGGGGGGAUCCCAAGUGCCAUUCUUAACGGGAUGGCUUUUCAUUAGUGUAAAGAGCUUUUGGAAUAAGAGCUGGGCAAGACCGGUGCCAGCCGCCGCGGUAACACCGGCAGCUCUAGUGGUAGCAGUUUUUAUUGGGCCUAAAGCGUCCGUAGCCGGUUUAAUAAGUCUCUGGUGAAAUCCUGCAGCUUAACUGUGGGAAUUGCUGGAGAUACUAUUAGACUUGAGACCGGGAGAGGUUAGAGGUACUCCCAGGGUAGAGGUGAAAUUCUGUAAUCCUGGGAGGACCGCCUGUUGCGAAGGCGUCUGACUGGAACGAUUCUGACGGUGAGGGACGAAAGCUAGGGGCGCGAACCGGAUUAGAUACCCGGGUAGUCCUAGCUGUAAACGAUGCGGACUUGGUGUUGGGGUGGCUUUGAGCUGUCCCAGUGCCGAAGGGAAGCUGUUAAGUCCGCCGCCUGGGAAGUACGGUCGCAAGACUGAAACUCAAAGGAAUUGGCGGGGGAGCACCACAACGCGUGGAGCCUGCGGUUUAAUUGGAGUCAACGCCGG